GUAGGUGGCAAGCGUUGUCCGGGAAUUAUUGGGGCGUAAAGCGCGCGCAGGCGGUCCUUUAAGUCUGAUGCGAAAGCCCACGGGCUCAACCGUGGAGGGUCAUUGGAAACUGGGGGACUUGAGUGCAGAAGAGAAGAGUGGAAUUCCACGUGUAGCGGUGAAAUGCGUAGAGAUGUGGAGGAACACCAGUGGCGAAGGCGACUCUUUGGUCUGUAACUGACGCUGAGGCGCGAAAGCGUGGGGAGCAAACAGGAUUAGAUACCCUGGUAGUCCACGCCGUAAACGAUGAGUGCUAAGUGUUAGAGGGUUUCCGCCCUUUAGUGCUGCAGCAAACGCAUUAAGCACUCCGCCUGGGGAGUACGGCCGCAAGGCUA
rnacentral:rRNA from 1 species